GACGAACGCUGGCGGCGUGCUUAACACAUGCAAGUCGAACGGAAAGGCCCUGCUUUUGUGGGGUGCUCGAGUGGCGAACGGGUGAGUAACACGUGAGUAACCUGCCCUUGACUUUGGGAUAACUUCAGGAAACUGGGGCUAAUACCGGAUAGGAGCUCCUGCUGCAUGGUGGGGGUUGGAAAGUUUCGGCGGUUGGGGAUGGACUCGCGGCUUAUCAGCUUGUUGGUGGGGUAGUGGCUUACCAAGGCUUUGACGGGUAGCCGGCCUGAGAGGGUGACCGGCCACAUGGGGACUAGGAUCCGGCCGAGCCGCCGCGGGGGGGAAGAAGGGGGAAAUAUGGCAAAAGGGGGGGAAGCUUGAUGCAGCAGCCCCCGGUGGGGGAGGGGGGCCUGGGGUUGGAAAACCGCUUCCCCCGGUGAAAAAGGGGGAGUGACGGGAAGGGAUAAAGAAGCACCGACUAACUACGUC
rnacentral:rRNA from 1 species